rnacentral:lncRNA from 1 species
GAGGAACUGCGUUCCAGGCAGAGGAAGUCCAGAUGCGCAAGAGCAGAGAUGGGAGGGACAGCACAGUGGCUUCUCAGAAUUGAAUAUGGUGUUAGACUUCUAAAAGAGCUGUGGUAGAGGGAGAAAACUGUCAAAGGAAAUCAGUAACUGUUAAAGGAAAAUACCUUAAACGUCCUGUUUUCAGGCUGACUAAUGCCUUAGGGGAGCAAAUGAGCAACAGAAACGAUAUGAGCAACUGCUGUUCUUUCAAAAUACCCAGGCAGAGGAACCGGCAGACGAUGGGCAGGCAAAUAGCAUCGAACAAACAACUGAGAUCCUGUUGUGCCUAUCACCUGUUGAAGUUGCCAGUCUUAAGGAAGGAAUCAAUUUCUUUCGCAAUAAGAGCACUGGCAAAGACUACGUCUUGUACAAGAAUAAGAGCCGACUGAGGGCAUGCAAGAAUAUGUGCAAGCACCAAGGAGGCCUGUUCAUAAAAGAUAUCGAGGAUUUAGCCGGAAGUUGUUGAAAUGGAUGAAAACAACGGACUUUUGCUUUUAGAACUGAAUCCUCCUAACCCUUGGGACUUACAGCCCAGAUCUCCUGAAGAGUUGGCUUUUGGAGAAGUACAGUAACAGAUAACAUAUCUCACUCAUGCCUGCAUGGACCUCAAGUUAGGAGACAAGAGAAUGGUGUUUGACCCUUGGUUAAUCGGUCCUGCUUUUGCCCGUGGAUGGUGGUUGCUCCAUGAGCCUCCAUCUGAUUGGCUGGAGAGGCUGUGCCAGGCAGACCUCAUUUACAUCAGUCAUCUGCACUCAGACCACCUGAGUUACCCCACACUGAAAAAGCUUGCUGGGAGAAGACCAGAUAUUCCCAUUUAUGUUGGAAACACAGAAAGGCCUGUAUUUUGGAAUCUGAAUCAGAGCGGUGUCCAGUUGACUAAUAUCAAUGUCGUGCCAUUUGGAAUAUGGCAGCAGGUCAGAAAUCUGCUUUCUUUCCAUGCUUUCCAGUUAUGCUUUCUGUGAUGAAUGUUAGGUGAGAUAGUCACCGUAAGCUCAAAUACUGAAUUAAAAACCAAACUGAAAUUCACAGUUGUUGGUUUUGUUGUUAAAUUCCAGGUGGACAAAAAUCUUCGAUUCAUGAUCUUGAUGGACGGUGUUCAUCCUGAGAUGGACACUUGCAUUAUUGUGGAGUACAAAGGUCAUAAAAUACUCAAUAUAGUAGACUGCACCAGACCCAAUGGGGGAAGGCUGCCUAUGAAGGUUGCUCUAAUGAUGAGUGAUUUUGCUGGAGGAGCAUCAGGCUUUCCAAUGACUUUCAGUGGUGGAAAAUUUACGGAAUGAACACUCCAUGAGAGCAGGGACCUGCUUUGCCUUGUUCACCACUUUAUUCCCAGUGGCUAGAACCACGUCUGACACAGAGUAGGUGCACAAUAAAUAUUGGUUAC